rnacentral:rRNA from 1 species
GGAAGGGGUGUAUUUAUUAGAUUAAAAACCAAUGCCCUUCGGGGCUCUCUGGUGAUUCAUAAUAACUUCUCGAAUCGCAUGGCCUUGUGCCGGCGAUGGUUCAUUCAAAUUUCUGCCCUAUCAACUUUCGAUGGCAGGGUCUUGGCCUGCCAUGGUUACAACGGGUAACGGAGGGUUAGGGCUCGACCCCGGAGAAGGAGCCUGAGAAACGGCUACUACAUCCAAGGAAGGCAGCAGGCGCGCAAAUUACCCAAUCCCGAUUCGGGGAGGUAGUGACAAUAAAUACUGAUACAGGGCUCUUUUGGGUCUUGUAAUUGGAAUGAGUACAAUUUAAAUCCCUUAACGAGGAACAAUUGGAGGGCAAGUCUGGUGCCAGCAGCCGCGGUAAUUCCAGCUCCAAUAGCGUAUAUUAAAGUUGUUGCAGUUAAAAAGCUCGUAGUUGAACCUUGGGCCUGGCUGGCCGGUCCGCCUCACCGCGUGCACUGGUUCGGCCGGGCCUUUCCCUCUGGGGAACCUCAUGCCCUUCACUGGGUGUGAUGGGGAACCAGGACUUUUAC